rnacentral:rRNA from 1 species
AUUGAACGCUGGCGGCAUGCCUUACACAUGCAAGUCGAACGGCAGCACGGGAGCAAUCCUGGUGGCGAGUGGCGAACGGGUGAGUAAGGUAUCGGAACGUGCCCAGUCGUGGGGGAUAACGUAGCGAAAGUUACGCUAAUACCGCAUACGAUCGAUGGAUGAAAGCGGGGGAUCGCAAGACCUCGCGCGAUUGGAGCGGCCGAUAUCAGAUUAGGUAGUUGGUGGGGUAAAGGCUCACCAAGCCGACGAUCUGUAGCUGGUCUGAGAGGACGACCAGCCACACUGGGACUGAGACACGGCCCAGACUCCUACGGGAGGCAGCAGUGGGGAAUUUUGGACAAUGGGCGAAAGCCUGAUCCAGCCAUGCCACGUGCAGGAUGAAGGCCUUCGGGUUGUAAACUGCUUUUGUACGGAACGAAAAGGUUUGGCCUAAUAAGCUGAGCUCAUGACGGUACCGUAAGAAUAAGCACCGGCUAACUACGUGCCAGCCGCCGCCGUAA